UACGAAGGGGGCGAGCGUUGUUCGGAAUUACUGGGCGUAAAGGGCGCGUAGGCGGCGACUCAAGUUAGAUGUGAAAGUCCUGGGCUUAACCUGGGGACUGCAUUUGAUACUGGGUUGCUUGAAUUCGGGAGAGGAUAGCGGAAUUCCCAGUGUAGAGGUGAAAUUCGUAGAUAUCGGAAGGAACACCAGUGGCGAAGGCGGCUUCCUGGACUAAUACUGACGCUGAGGUGCGAAAGCGUGGGGAGCAAACAGG
rnacentral:rRNA from 1 species